GUAAAUGCAUGUGUUCAGUUUGCUUCUAUUAGGAAACAGUACUGAAAUCAUGUACAAUUUACAGUGGGUAGCCUACAGGUGAGAAUAUACAUAUAUCCAACACAGAGAUAUAGGCAUAUUGAUCCAUUGAGUCCUUAUAUACGGUUCUGGCACACACCAAACAUCCAACAAAUAUGGUGGUUACUCCCAGUACUGCAUAUCAACUGCUCAAUCUAAAUAACAAGAACUCAUGAAGAACCAAUGAAAAAUAUAUCAGAGUAAUCAGUUGAUUGAUAUUCAUAUCUCUGCUUGACAAUCACCAUGACUUUCUAACAAAAUUUGCAGCACUCAGUAUAAGCUUGGCAGUAGUGAGAUUCUGUGGGUCUGGUAACGACAGAUGGAUAUAUCCUGUUCCAACAUUGAAACUUCACUAAUUUCACAGAAAGUGCGUAAAGCAGCGCGUCAAAUUGAAAAAAAAUCUAAAUGAAAAAGAGUAAUUUAUCAAGGUGUAAGAGUUAAUGGCAAAAACGUUAAUGUGACGUAUGUGAUUUCUAAUCAAUUUUAAUAGUUACCGUCGUACAUGGAUUUUGCAAUUGAUACAAAUUUGUGAAUAUUUGAAAGUAAUUUAAAAUGCGAGGCAAAAGAAGUGAUGGAUUUCCCAUUAAAAAUUAAUUCUAAUACAAGCAGUCACGAAACGAAAGAGAUCCGGAAGGAAUCCAAAGCUGGAAAGUAAUCUAAAAAGUCAGCAUUUGUGCAAACUAAUAACCAAUUACGAUUAAUUAAAAUUUUCGUCUUGACAGCAGAUCAGAAACAUAUUUUUCGUCAAGAAUAUAUGUUCUCAGGAGGUCAGAUAAACAUUGUAAACACGACUCCGAGUUACGUGCCUGAAAAUAAUUCAAUGUUGAUUCUGAGAUAAGAUAUAUUCUACAGCGUAAUAAGCAAAUUUAAAUAAAAAUAAGGCAAACUGACGCAAAUGAGGUUUAAGUAUUCAAAUACACUUGCACGAAGAAUCAGUGCUUAUGAUCAGACCAUUCUCUUGGAUAGUAUCCAGGUAUAAAAGUACCGAUAGCGUGUUGGAAAAGAUAGUAAAACAUCGCAGAUACUGAAUUGAGUGACGAGUGAAAAAUAAUAUGAAUACUAAAUGGCAAAGACUCACAUUAAACUAAAGGAAUCAAAAAGAAAGUCGCAAACCAUCAAAAGUUUC